CCUUACAUAAAUUGCGUUUACUUCAGUUUCUGUUCUCGCACCUCACUUCACUCACCUUUGGAUUAUAGAGAAGCAAAGCCGAGCAAAGCAGCGAAGACAGCAGAAUGGAGCAAACCUUUAUCAUGAUAAAGCCUGAUGGUGUCCAGAGGGGCCUGAUCGGUGAGAUUAUCAGCAGAUUUGAGAAGAAGGGGUUCUCACUGAAAGGUUUGAAGCUAAUUUCUGUAGACCGUCCUUUUGCUGAGAAGCACUAUGAGGACUUGUCUGCAAAGCCCUUCUUUAAUGGGUUGGUGGAUUACAUUAUCUCUGGUCCAGUUGUUGCGAUGGUUUGGGAGGGUAAGAAUGUUGUGACAACUGGCCGGAAGAUAAUUGGAGCCACAAACCCGGCACAAUCUGAGCCUGGAACUAUCCGUGGGGACUAUGCCAUUGAUAUUGGCAGGAAUGUCAUCCAUGGAAGUGAUUCUGUUGAAAGCGCAAGGAAGGAAAUUGCAUUGUGGUUUCCAGAGGGCCCUGUUGCUUGGCAAAGCAGCGUCCACAACUGGAUCUACGAGUGAAGUAUGUUUGCUGCUGCUGCUGCUUCUGCUGCAAUGACAUCGCACAUUGCUCUUCUGAUCCACUGUUGCCCACUUGUCAUUUUCUUGUCUCUUUCAACAGUCGAACAUAUUUACAUGCAGUUCUCAAAUUAAUUUUGGUCAGUGUGUUGUAUGCUUAUUGAAGGCCCAUUUGGGAUUCAAAGUGAUGAAGGUUUUUCAAGGGAUGGAACAAUAAUGUAGAACCGUGUAUCUUGAAGGGAAUGUUGAUGAAGACGACGAUGACCAACAGAAGCAGCGGCUAUUAUAGCAAUUGUCAUGGUGAUGGUGAUAAGAAGUCGAUAAUUGCGGUAAGGGUGUUAAUAGUGGAGCACCCAGGUUUUUGAAGUUUUAAGUCAAUUUUAUUGGAGGAUAUUUUCACACCAUUAUAAGGCCAUGGCUAAGAGAGACACAAAACACAAUCAAGCCAUAUUAACAAUCAAAAUAUAUAUACACAGCUAACUUUCGUAUGGCUUGUUUCGAAAACAAGCCCAAUCAGUAGGCCUGUCAACUCCUAUAAACAUGUUAUCAAAAGUAACAGAGGUAGUACGUGAUGAAAUCUCUCGUCAUUUUUGUUU